AGCCUUCUGUAUCCGUGCUGAGAUUUUGUCACACACCAGACCACAAGAGCUGAUGAGAUUUUCAUGAUAAGUGAAGCA
rnacentral:pre_miRNA from 1 species